CAGCCGUAAACUAUGCGCGUUAGGUGUACUGGUGACCACGAGUCACCGGGGUGCCGAAGGGAAACCGUGAAACGUGCCGCCUGGGAAGUACGGUCGCAAGGCUGAAACUUAAAGGAAUUGGCGGGGGAGCACCACAACAGGUGGAGCCUGCGGUUUAAUUGGACUCAACGCCGGGAAGUUCACCGGAUAGGACAGCAGAAUGAUUGCCGGGCUGAAGACCCUGCAUGACUAGCUGAGAGGUGGUGCAUGGCGUCAGUGACU
rnacentral:rRNA from 1 species